rnacentral:rRNA from 1 species
UCCUGGCUCGGGAUGAAGUCUGGGGGCCCGCCUAACGCAUGCAAGUCGAACGGCACCUAUCUUGGGAUAGAAGCGAGUGGCGAACGGCUGAGUAACACGUGGAGAACCUGCCCCCUCCCCCGGGAUAGCCGCCCGAAAGGACGGGUAAUACCGGAUACCCCCGGGCGCCGCAUGGCGCCCGGGCUAAAGCCCCGACGGGAGGGGAUGGCUCCGCGGCCCAUCAGGUAGACGGCGGGGUGACGGCCCACCGUGCCGACAACGGGUAGCCGGGUUGAGAGACCGACCGGCCAGAUUGGGACUGAGACACGGCCCAGACUCCUACGGGAGGCAGCAGUGGGGAAUCUUGCGCAAUGGGGGGAACCCUGACGCAGCGACGCCGCGUGCGGGACGGAGGCCUUCGGGUCGUAAACCGCUUUCAGCAGGGAAGAGUCAAGACUGUACCUGCAGAAGAAGCCCCGGCUAACUACGUGCCAGCAGCCGCGGUAAUACGUAGGGGGCGAGCGUUAUCCGGAUUCAUUGGGCGUAAAGCGCGCGUAGGCGGCCCGGCAGGCCGGGGGUCGAAGCGGGGGGCUCAACCCCCCGAAGCCCCCGGAACCUCCGCGGCUUGGGUCCGGUAGGGGAGGGUGGAACACCCGGUGUAGCGGUGGAAUGCGCAGAUAUCGGGUGGAACACCGGUGGCGAAGGCGGCCCUCUGGGCCGAGACCGACGCUGAGGCGCGAAAGCUGGGGGAGCGAACAGGAUUAGAUACCCUGGUAGUCCCAGCCGUAAACGAUGGACGCUAGGUGUGGGGGGACGAUCCCCCCGGUCCCGCAGCCAACGCAUUAAGUGUCCCGCUUGGGGAGUACGGCCGCAAGGUUAAAACUCAAAGAAAUUGACGGGGGCCCGCACAAGCAGCGGAGCAUGUGGCUUAAUUGGAAGCAACGCGAAGACCUUUCCCAGGGCUUGACAUAUGGGUGAAGCGGGGGAGACCCCGUGGCGGAGAGGAGCCCAUACAGGUGGUGCAUGGCUGUCGUCAGCUCGUGUCGUGAGAUGUUGGGUUAAGUCCCGCAACGAGCGCAACCCCCGCCGCGUGUUGCCAUCGGGUGAUGCCGGGAACCCACGCGGGCCCGCCGCCGUCAAGGCGGAGGAGGGCGGGGACGACGUCAAGUCAUCAUGCCCCUUAUGCCCUGGGCUGCACACGUGCUACAAUGGCCGGUACAGAGGGAUGCCACCCCGCGAGGGGGAGCGGAUCCCGGAAAGCCGGCCCCAGUUCGGAUUGGGGGCUGCAACCCGCCCCCAUGAAGUCGGAGUUGCUAGUAAUCGCGGAUCAGCAUGCCGCGGUGAAUGCGUUCCCGGGCCUUGCACUCACCGCCCGUCA